UGGACAAUGAUGUCCUCAUGGAAAUAGUUGUUCCUUCCACAACACAGCUGGGUCAUGAGCACAUAAGGCUGGGAAAAGCGAAGUCACAAGUGGGAGAGAAGGCUGGACAUAGUAGCAUUAGUCACCGGUCAGAUGUGAGAGGCAUUUGCUCUUGUGCAGCGGCAGAGGGUUCUGAGGCUUCCAGGCUGAGGGUGUCACGAGAUCCUUCCUCAAAUUCAGCCAACAAGAAGCAUGAGGAAAAAUUUCCCGGCCUGCCUUCCACCUAAGCGCCCUGAUACAUAUGCUGCCAUGUGUUCAUGAGCGACACGGAAGAGCACAGCUCAUGUGGCUCCGGCAAGGAGGCCGCAUGCUGACCAGUACCAAGUGGAGAGAAAUGAAAAGCCCUUACAGGGACUGCUGGAUUACACCCGGAGAGACUGCAAACCCCUUCUCAGAUUUCACAAAGACUGGCAAAAUUUUUUUCAUGUUUCAGUGCUCAUUUCUGAGGAGGAAACAGAUGGAUGGUAGUGGGGGCCUCAAAAGUGUUUUUGCAAAUUACCUCACAAACUUAUAGCUGUUCAAAAAAUAGAAGCCAACCUUCACAGUCACCCCGGCCAAGAUCUUUGCAAGAAAUCCGUCUUUUGCUCUUGCCAGCUAUAGGACCUAAAGAUCAUAGUAGUGAGGACUGCUGAAAUGUCUGAAAUCAAAGAAAGGGAAGGUUAUUAUUUGAUACUCAGGGUGCCAUCCACAGUGCCAGCAUGCUGCACAGAACUCUCAAGAACUGAACAAUGACUCGGAACCCAGAUUCUAAUGAUAUCAUGAGAAAUUUAAUGUCAGCAAGACAUUAAGAAGAGACCUAUGACUGUAAUGGCUAACACAGCAGAUCAUAUAAGGUGCAAUGACUGAAAAAGAAAAAAAAGACACCUGGAAUCUUUGUUUUCAUGGUGAUGAAUGCUUUUCUCAUGAUAGUGGAAUUUACAAUAUAUUUUAUUUUUUUAUUUUUCUUAUUAGCUUCAGAUCAUCUUUCUUCCAGGUUCAUUCUCAAGUAUAUUCUUUAGAAGUUCUUUCAUAACAGUCUAUUGAGUAGCAAACUCUUCUAGGUUUUUAUGUUUGAAAAUAUAAAAAUCCUUUACUCUCAAAUAAUAGCCUAGCUGGGCAUAGAAUACUGAGUUGAAAAUAAUUUUCCCUCAACAAUUUGAAUAUAUUACUUUAUUUUCUUUUGGCAUUUAUUGCUACUCUUAAGACAUCUGUAGCUACUCUGUCAUUUGUCACAAGUUAUGUUUAGUCUCUUGGUAGCUUUUAAAAUAUCUUUAUCCCUGAUAGUCUGCAAUUGUACCAUGAAGUGUUUAGGUUGUAAUUUCUUUUAAAUAAUCCUAUUUUUGGGACGCCUGGGUGGCUCAGCGGUUGAGCAACUGUCUUUGGCUCAGGACGUGAUGCCGGGGUUCUGGGAUCGAGUCCCACA